rnacentral:rRNA from 1 species
GACGAACGCUGGCGGCGUGCUUAACACAUGCAAGUCGAACGGAAAGGCCCUGCUUUUGUGGGGUGCUCGAGUGGCGAACGGGUGAGUAACACGUGAGUAACCUGCCCUUGACUUUGGGAUAACUUCAGGAAACUGGGGCUAAUACCGGAUAGGAGCUCCUGCUGCAUGGUGGGGGUUGGAAAGUUUCGGCGGUUGGGGAUGGACUCGCGGUUUAUCAGCUUGUUGGUGGGGUAGUGGCUUACCAAGGCUUUGACGGGUAGCCGGCCUGAGAGGGUGACCGGGCACAUUGGGACUGAGGUGGGGGCCGGAGUCCUACGGGAGGCAGCAGUGGGGAAUAUUGCAAGAUGGGCGGAAGCCUGAUGCAGCAACGCCGCGUGCGGGAUGACGGUCUUCGGGUUGUAAACCGCUUUCGCCUGUGACGAAGCGUGAGUGACGGUAAUGGGUAAAGAAGCACCGGCUAACUACGUG